rnacentral:hammerhead_ribozyme from 1 species
GUACUGCUAAUGAGUCCCAGAAUAGGACGAAACGUCUGUCCAGUGC